GUAAGAUGCAAUAAACUUCUUACAACUAGCUGUGGUGAGGAAAAAUGGAAGGUAAAAAAUAAACGGGGCUAUUCCAAAUUUAUGCUAGAAAUAGGUACGUACACAUAUUGGAGCAUCAGCUGUGUGACAAGCGUGGACUGACACGAACUGAAUUUCCCACGUGGCCGUCAGACUCCGGUGCAAUUUUAUCACCAUUCAUCGUAAGCAGAAGAAACACUCUAUGGAGCCACGAUCAUAGCCAUAAAUCAUCAUAGAGGUCAAAGUACGAGUAAGUCAAAGAUUUUACCGAAAGUUAUCCGAUGGAAAGAACCGAAGCCCGAUCACGAGGUUCCAAGAGCGAUGAAAGAACGAUGUCAGGCUAAGGAAAUCGAAACACGCGGUGGCCUGUCCGCUCGCCGUCGAAACAGCAUCCGCUUUUCAAUUCAGCGCCCGUCGUCGGUCGUGCUUGCAUACAAACGCUCGCAUUUGACCGCGUAGCUCGCGGCGCUGCUUCAUACCGUAGCAGCCGGCUUAGAACGCGGCCGCACGAUAGAAAGUUAGCUCGCAGAGAACGUGCACCCGUUUUCCCGCCUUCGUGUAACUGCACGCGACUGAUGCAACGUCCAACAUUGCAUAUUCGAAGACUGACGUCGUGAACAGAAGUCAACAUCGUGCCUUUUGCGGCGUUACGUUCGCCUGACUCCGUAGCAACGAACAGUUUCUUCGCCUCGCGGAAAGAAGAUCGAUUAUUAAAAUGGUUAUAAUACGUAGAAGGUUUCUUGCAUCGUGUUCUUCAAAGCGUUGCCUCGCGUUAUUUCAAACGCGACAGUUGUUGCUGCGUCCUCUUCGACACGGAUGACCUAAUUUAAGGGACACACGUUCUGUUACCCAGGUUGCACCAAGUUUCUUGGUGAAAUUUAUAGUUCACGUCUUUCGUCUGCUUGUUUCUUUGGUCUACUUCGAAUACGAAUUAUAAUUUUUAGCAAAUACUGGGAUGUUAAAUCUGAACAUUUGCUCGAGGAUUGAUGGAGAAUCGGAUUAAAAGUAAGUUACAAGUAUUAUUGCGAAUUUGUAUUCUUUCGUGAGAAAUUCGAAGAUACAAAUAUGCACGAUAUGCAAAAAUAUGUAAAAUACUUAAGGUAUUCUAUCUGACAUUAUUUUACACCUUUUUAUUAUAUUACACUUUUUUAAUUGUAUUCAUAAAAAUAUGAAUUCGUAUAAAUACACGCAACCUAGUUACGAGCACGAUUAAACUGCGAAUUUUAUCUAUGAAAUAUGCAAAGAUUAUAUUAGCGAAGUAGUAAUCCCAAAGUGGUUAAAAUAAAAUAUCGAUAAGUAAAUUCGUCGUACGUAACGUGGAUUUGAUCACGUGCAAAAUAACCCUAUUAAAUAAUCCUAGCGUAAAUAUUAGCGAUUAAUCCCGUUCUAUUCACAGUUGUAACACAAAUCUAGAUCCCAUUAUCUAGAUUACAC